UACGAAGGUCCCAAGCGUUAUCCGGAUUUAUUGGGUUUAAAGGGUGCGUAGGCGGGCUAUUAAGUCAGUGGUGAAAGCCCCAGCUUAACUUGGGAACUGCCAUUGAUACUGAUGGUCUUGAGUACAUUUGAGGUGGGCGGAAUGUGUCAUGUAGCGGUGAAAUGCUUAGAUAUGACACAGAACACCGAUUGCGAAGGCAGCUCACUAAACUGUAAACUGACGCCUGGAGGCACGAAAGCGUGGGGAGCAAACAGG
rnacentral:rRNA from 1 species